rnacentral:rRNA from 1 species
GCAGCCGCGUAAUUCCAGCUCCAAUAGCGUAUAUUAAAGUGUUGCNGUUAAAAAGCUCGUAGUUGAAUUUCGGGAUCAAUGCGUCGGUCGUGCUUCGGGUACGUACUGGUGUCAUUGGUUUCUACCUUCUGACGAACCUUGAUGUCAUUAAUUUGGUGUCUUGGGGAAUCAGGACUGUACUUUGAAAAAAUUAGAGUGUUUAAAGCAGGCUCACGCUUGAAUACAUUAGCAUGGAAUAAUGAAAUAGGACGUUUGAUUCUAUUUUAGUUGGUUUCUAGGAUCGACGUAAUGAUUAAUAGGGAUAGUUGGGGGGCAUUAGUAUUCAAUUGUCAGAGGUGAAAUUCUUGGAUUUAUUGAAGACUAACUACUGCGAAAGCAUUUGCCAAGGAUGUUUUCAUUAAUCAAGAACGAAAGUUAGGGGAUCGAAGACGAUCAGAUACCGUCGUAGUCUUAACCAUAAACUAUGCCGACUAGGGAUCGGAUGAUGUUAAUUUUUUAAUGACUCAUUCGGCGCCUUACG